GACGAACGCUGGCGGCGUGCCUAAUACAUGCAAGUCGAACGAACAGAUUUGACACCGAUGCUUGCAUCACCGUUAAAACUGUGAGUGGCGAACGGGUGAGUAACACGUGGGUAACCUGCCUAAAAGAGGGGGAUAACACUUGGAAACAGGUGCUAAUACCGCAUAACCAUGAUGACCGCAUGGUCAUUAUGUAAAAGAUGGUUUCGGCUAUCGCUUUUAGAUGGACCCGCGGCGUAUUAACUAGUUGGUAGGGUAACGGCCUACCAAGGUGAUGAUACGUAGCCGAACUGAGAGGUUGAUCGGCCACAUUGGGACUGAGACACGGCCCAAACUCCUACGGGAGGCAGCAGUAGGGAAUCUUCCACAAUGGACGAAAGUCUGAUGGAGCAACGCCGCGUGUGUGAAGAAGGUCUUCGGAUCGUAAAACACUGUUGUUAGAGAAGAAUACAAGUGAGAGUAACUGUUCACUUGCUGACGGUAUCUAACCAGAAAGUCACGGCUAACUACGUGCCAGCAGCCGCGGUAAUACGUAGGUGGCAAGCGUUGUCCGGAUUUAUUGGGCGUAAAGGGAACGCAGGCGGUUUUUUAAGUCUGAUGUGAAAGCCUUCGGCUUAACCGGAGUAGUGCAUUGGAAACUGGAAGACUUGAGUGCAGAAGAGGAGAGUGGAACUCCAUGUGUAGCGGUGAAAUGCGUAGAUAUAUGGAAGAACACCAGUGGCGAAAGCGGCUCUCUGGUCUGUAACUGACGCUGAGGUUCGAAAGCGUGGGUAGCAAACAGGAUUAGAUACCCUGGUAGUCCACGCCGUAAACGAUGUCGACUUGGAGGUUGUGCCCUUGAGGCGUGGCUUCCGGAGCUAACGCGUUAAGUCGACCGCCUGGGGAGUACGGCCGCAAGGUUAAAACUCAAAUGAAUUGACGGGGGCCCGCACAAGCGGUGGAGCAUGUGGUUUAAUUCGAUGCAACGCGAAGAACCUUACCUGGUCUUGACAUCCACAGAACUUUCCAGAGAUGGAUUGGUGCCUUCGGGAACUGUGAGACAGGUGCUGCAUGGCUGUCGUCAGCUCGUGUUGUGAAAUGUUGGGUUAAGUCCCGCAACGAGCGCAACCCUUAUCCUUUGUUGCCAGCGGUCCGGCCGGGAACUCAAAGGAGACUGCCAGUGAUAAACUGGAGGAAGGUGGGGAUGACGUCAAGUCAUCAUGGCCCUUACGACCAGGGCUACACACGUGCUACAAUGGCGCAUACAAAGAGAAGCGACCUCGCGAGAGCAAGCGGACCUCAUAAAGUGCGUCGUAGUCCGGAUUGGAGUCUGCAACUCGACUCCAUGAAGUCGGAAUCGCUAGUAAUCGUGGAUCAGAAUGCCACGGUGAAUACGUUCCCGGGCCU
rnacentral:rRNA from 1 species